CAGAAAAUUGCUGUGAAGCUUCCAUCAGGUCCACGUCAACCUGAAAAGACUAGAUCACAGCGAUUGCUUCAGAUCAUCGGCAAAGAUAUGAGAAUCAUCGUGUUUGGUUUUCGUGCUCGAACCAAGCAGAGGCGUGCUGUCUAUGAUGCAUUAUUACGGUGUACAAGGCCUGCAACUUUAUGGGAUCUCUAUGCAUUUGCUGGUGGUCCAUCCAGGUUUAGCAACACAAAUCCCAAAGUAAGGCUGUUGAAUGAGUAUUGCCGACUUCUUGGAAUGGGGUUUUAUCAAGCUUCUAUCCGUGCUAUUGAAGAUGGGGCAUUUACACUUUCAAAUGAGUGGUGGCGUAUUAGCAGUGUCAACUGUAAUUACACAAUGUCCAGUACUUAUCCAUUUGCUUUACUCUUACCGAAGUCCAUAAGUGAUGACAAAGUGGUGCAGGCUAGUGCAUUCCGUGCACGGAGUAGGCUUCCAUCCAUAACAUGGUGUGAUAGAGGAACUGGGGCUGUUCUUGCACGAUCUUCUCAACCUCUAGUUGGAAUCAUGAUGAAUAUGAG
rnacentral:misc_RNA from 1 species